AAUCAAUGAACUUGAAUAAGUUUAUGUUUUGAAAACAUAAUAUAAAAGUUUAACCUUUUAUUGAUUU
rnacentral:tRNA from 1 species